rnacentral:rRNA from 1 species
GAUGAACGCUGGCGGCGUGCCUAAUACAUGCAAGUCGAGCGAACGGACGAGAAGCUUGCUUCUCUGAUGUUAACGGCGGACGGGUGAGUAACACGUGGAUAACCUACCUAUAAGACUGGGAUAACUUCGGGAAACCGGAGCUAAUACCGGAUAAUAUUUUGAACCGCAUGGUUCAAAAGUGAAAGGCGGUCUUGCUGUCACUUAUAGAUGGAUCCGCGCUGCAUUAGCUAGUUGGUAAGGUAACGGCUUACCAAGGCAACGAUGCAUAGCCGACCUGAGAGGGUGAUAGGCCACACUGGAACUGAGACACGGACCAGACUCCUACGGGAGGCAGCAGUAGGGAAUCUUCCGCAAUGGGCGAAAGCCUGACGGAGCAACGCCGCGUGAGUGAUGAAGGUCUUCGGAUCGUAAAACUCUGUUAUUAGGGAAGAACAUAUGUGUAAGUAACUGUGCACAUCUUGACGGUACCUAAUCAGAAAGCCACGGCUAACUACGUG